CUCGUUUGUUUCGCGAGUAUUGGAGGGGUUUUCAGCGAAAUUUCCCCGCGAGGCCCAGAUUCCUCCCGAAUACCCGUUGGCCCAUUUGGUAGGCAGGGUUUUCUCGGCCCAACCCCUUCGAUUCCCCUUCGACCCACCUGUUCCCACACGGUUCAGAAUCAUCUCGCCCGCCCUCGAGGAUUUGGCCGCCCCGACUCGAGACGAUGCCGCCGACGCCGCGCCGCCCGACUCGACGCCGGCGAUCUCUCCGGCCUACUGGACUUCUCACUGGUGGUUCUCAAGCACCAAAAGAAGCAACAAUAAACAAGCUGGAGGGAUAACUUUCUCUCAGAUUCUCAAAGAUAGAUGAUCAUGACACCAAAAGAUUGAUAUAUCUGUAUGCGAAAUUAUAACUGAUCUUGAGCUAUUCCAGAAGUACUUGUGUUGCGUUAUCUUUGCUGCAAAAUUAUGUUGGGGCUGUGAUGAACUGUUGUUGCUGCGAAAGAUCAUGUUGUCAUGAUAAAUUAUGAUUCCUGGGAUUCGGGAUUCGAAGUCAUGUUGUUAUGAUAAAUUAUGAUGUUGUUGUGAUGAUA